rnacentral:rRNA from 1 species
GAUGAACGCUGGCGGCGUGCCUAAUACAUGCAAGUCGAGCGAACUGAUUAGAAGCUUGCUUCUAUGACGUCAGCGGCGGACGGGUGAGUAACACGUGGGCAACCUGCCUGUAAGACUGGGAUAACUUCGGGAAACCGAAGCUAAUACCGGAUAGGAUCAUCUCCUUCAUGGGAGAUGAUUGAAAGAUGGUUUCGGCUAUCACUUACAGAUGGGCCCGCGGUGCAUUAGCUAGUUGGUGAGGUAACGGCUCACCAAGGCAACGAUGCAUAGCCGACCUGAGAGGGUGAUCGGCCACACUGGGACUGAGACACGGCCCAGACUCCUACGGGAGGCAGCAGUAGGGAAUCUUCCGCAAUGGACGAAAGUCUGACGGAGCAACGCCGCGUGAGUGAUGAAGGCUUUCGGGUCGUAAAACUCUGUUGUUAGGGAAGAACAAGUACGAGAGUAACUGCUCGUACCUUGACGGUACCUAACCAGAAAGCCACGGCUAACUACGUGCCAGCCGCCGCGGUAACAC